rnacentral:lncRNA from 10 species
UGUAUGUGUAGGUAUUGGGUGGGUGGGGUUCUUUGAGCGAACUUGUCAGAAACUCCAUUCUUAACAUCAGAAUCAGGGCAGGAUUGAAAACAUUGUGGCUGGAUCUUGAAAUUGCUAUAACAUCUAUUGCAGAAAAUGAUAGGUCAGAUGGAUAGCAAUAAUAAUUAUAUAUCAGAUCUUAGUAACAAAAUUACCAAGCUUUAUCUAGUGGAUAUAUGUAAAAGAAUAUUU